UAGCAUUACAUCAGACCAUUUACCUGGCU
rnacentral:piRNA from 1 species